rnacentral:rRNA from 1 species
CAGUCGCCACGGUAAUACGAAGGGGGCUAGCGUUGCUCGGAAUGACUGGGCGUAAAGGGCGCGUAGGCGGCGGCCAAAGUCAGGCGUGAAAUUCCUGGGCUCAACCUGGGGGCUGCGUUUGAUACUUGGUUGCUUGAGUGGGGAAGAGGGUCGUGGAAUUCCCAGUGUAGAGGUGAAAUUCGUAGAUAUUGGGAAGAACACCGGUGGCGAAGGCGGCGACCUGGUCCUUUACUGACGCUGAGGCGCGAAAGCGUGGGGAGCAAACAGGAUUAGAUACCCCGGUAGUCCCUGUCUCUUAUAC